rnacentral:rRNA from 1 species
CAGUCGCCGCGGGAACACAGAGGGUGCAAGCGUUAAUCGGAAUUACUGGGCGUAAAGCGCGCGUAGGUGGUUCGCCAAGUUGGAUGUGAAAUCCCCGGGCUCAACCUGGGAACUGCAUCCAAAACUGGCGAGCUAGAGUAUGGUAGAGGGUGGUGGAAUUUCCUGUGUAGCGGUGAAAUGCGUAGAUAUAGGAAGGAACAUCAGUGGUGAAGGCGACUACCUGGACUGAUACUGACACUGAGGUGCGAAAGCGUGGGGAGCAAACAGGAUUAGAUACCCGCGUAGUCCCUGUCUCUUAUAC